GCUGGCGGCAGGCUUANNCACGCAAGUCGAGCGAAGCCUUCGGGCUUAGCGGCGGACGGGUGAGUAACGCGUGGGAACGUGCCCUUCACUACGGAAUAGUCCCUGGAAACGGGGUUUAAUACCGUAUACGCCCUUCGGGGGAAAGAUUUAUCGGUGAAGGAUCGGCCCGCGUCUGAUUAGGUAGUUGGUGGGGUAAUGGCCUACCAAGCCGACGAUCAGUAGCUGGUUUGAGAGGAUGAUCAGCCACACUGGGACUGAGACACGGCCCAGACUCCUACGGGAGGCAGCAGUGAGGAAUCUUGGACAAUGGGGGCAACCCUGAUCCAGCCAUGCCGCGUGAACGAUGAAGGCCUUAGGGUUGUAAAGUUCUUUCACCGGAGAAGAUAAUGACGGUAUCCGGAGAAGAAACCCCGGCUAACUCCGUGCCAGCAGCCGCGGUAAUACGGAGGGGGUUAGCGUUGUUCGGAAUUACUGGGCGUAAAGCGCACGUANGCGGACCAUUAAGUCAGGGGUGAAAUCCCGGGGCUCNACCCCGGAACUGCCUUUGAUACUGGUGGUCUGGAGUUCNAGAGANGUGAGUGGAAUUCCCANGU
rnacentral:rRNA from 1 species